rnacentral:ncRNA from 2 species
UCUAUCUGACAGUUGUCAGGUGCCCGUUAACGACGCGGGAGAAUCGGGAAUGCGGUGAAAUUCCGCAACGUGCCCAACGCUGUGAGGUGGAGAGAGCGACGGAAGCCACUGAUCGAGAGAUCGGGAAGGCGUCGCAAUCGCUGAAACCCAGUCAGAAGACCGGCCUGACAUCAUAGCCCACC